GUGUUGAUUGCCGCAAUAUGGUUC
rnacentral:siRNA from 1 species